rnacentral:rRNA from 1 species
AACGAACGCUGGCGGCAUGCCUAACACAUGCAAGUCGAACGAACCCUUCGGGGUUAGUGGCGCACGGGUGCGUAACGCGUGGGAAUCUGCCCUUUGUUUCGGAAUAACAGUCAGAAAUGACUGCUAAUACCGGAUGAUGUCUUCGGACCAAAGAUUUAUCGGCAAGGGAUGAGCCCGCGUAGGAUUAGGUAGUUGGUGGGGUAAAGGCCUACCAAGCCGACGAUCCUUAGCUGGUCUGAGAGGAUGAUCGGCCACACUGGGACUGAGACACGGCCCAGACUCCUACGGGAGGCAGCAGUGGGGAAUAUUGGACAAUGGGCGCAAGCCUGAUCCAGCAAUGCCGCGUGAGUGAUGAAGGCCUUCGGGUCGUAAAGCUCUUUUACCAGGGAUGAUAAUGACAGUACCUGGAGAAUAAGCUCCGGCUAACUCCGUGCCAGCCGCCGCCGUAAAAC